GCGAAAGCGAGUCUGAACAGGGCGCUUUAGUCGGUAGUAGUAGACGCGAAACCGUGCGAUCUACCCAUGGGCAGGCUGAAGCUGUGGUAACACAUAGUGGAGGGCCGAACCCGUUGACGUUGAAAAGUCUUGGGAUGACCUGUGGGUAGGGGUGAAAGGCCAAUCAAGCUCGGAAAUAGCUCGUACUCCCCGAAAUGCAUUUAGGUGCAGCGUGUUAUUAGUUUCAUAGAGGUAGAGCUACUGAUUGGAUGCGGGGGCUUCACCGCCUACCAAUUCCCGACAAACUCCGAAUGCUAUGAAACGUUGUAACGCAGUGAGGGCAUGGGUGCUAAGGUCCAUGUCCGAGAGGGAAAGAACCCGGACCAUCAGCUAAGGUCCCCAAAUAUGUGCUAAGUUGACAAAACGCGGUGGGACUGCAUAGACAGCCAGGAUGUUGGCUUGGAAGCAGCCAUUCAUUUAAAGAGUGCGUAACAGCUCACUGGUCGAGCGGUCCCGCAUGGAUAAUGAUCGGGCAUAAGCAUAUUACCGAAGCCGUGGUCCCGAUAAGUAUCGGGAGGUAGGGGAGCAUUGCAGUGCCGCCGAAGGCGCACGCCGCGAGGGGCGCUGGAGGAGCUGCAAACGAAAAUGUAGGCAUAAG
rnacentral:rRNA from 1 species